AUUGAACGCUGGCGGCAGGCCUAACACAUGCAAGUCGAACGGUAACAGGAAGAAGCUUGCUUCUUUGCUGACGAGUGGCGGACGGGUGAGUAAUGUCUGGGAAACUGCCUGAUGGAGGGGGAUAACUACUGGAAACGGUAGCUAAUACCGCAUAACGUCGCAAGACCAAAGAGGGGGACCUUCGGGCCUCUUGCCAUCGGCUGUGCCCCGAUGGGAUUAGCUAGUAGGUGGGGUAACGGCUCACCUGGCGACGAUCCCUAGCUGGUCUGAGAGGAUGACCAGCCACACUGGAACUGAGACACGCUCCAGACUCCUACGGGAGGCAGCAGUGGGGAAUAUUGCACAAUGGGCGCAAGCCUGAUGCAGCCACGCCGCGUGUAUGAAGAAGGCCUUCGGGUUGUAAAGUACUUUCAGCGGGGAGGAAGGGAGUAAAGUUAAUACCUUGGCUCAUUGACGUUACCCGCAGAAGAAGCACCGGCUAACUCCGUG
rnacentral:rRNA from 1 species